GACGAACGCUGGCGGCGUGCUUAACACAUGCAAGUCGAACGGAAAGGCCCUGCUUUUGUGGGGUGCUCGAGUGGCGAACGGGUGAGUAACACGUGAGUAACCUGCCCUUGACUUUGGGAUAACUUCAGGAAACUGGGGCUAAUACCGGAUAGGAGCUCCUGCUGCAUGGUGGGGGUUGGAAAGUUUCGGCGGUUGGGGAUGGACUCGCGGCUUAUCAGCUUGUUGGUGGGGUAGUGGCUUACCAAGGCUUUGACGGGUAGCCGGCCUGAGAGGGUGACCGGCAGAGGGGGGGCGGGGAGACGGCAGAGGGUGAUGGGGGGGGGGGCGGGGGGGAAUAUGGGAGGGGGGGGGGGGGGCGGGGACGGGAACGCGGGGGGGGGGAGGGCGGGUUGGGGGUUGUACUCGGGUUGCGCUGGGGGCGAGGAGUGGGGGCAGGGGGUGGGAAAAGAAGCACGGGCGAACGGCGUGCCAGAAGCGGCGGUAAUA
rnacentral:rRNA from 1 species